AUUGAACGCUGGCGGCAGGCCUAACACAUGCAAGUCGAGCGUGAAAGUUCUUCGGAAUGAGUAAAGCGGCGGACGGGUGAGUAAUACAUGGGAAUCUGCCUGGUAGUGAGGGACAACGUUUCGAAAGGAACGCUAAUACCGCAUACGCCCUACGGGGGGAAAGGGGGGGAUCUUCGGACCUCUCGCUAUCAGAUGAGCCC
rnacentral:rRNA from 1 species